rnacentral:rRNA from 1 species
AUUGAACGCUGGCGGCAGGCCUAACACAUGCAAGUCGAACGGUAACAGGAAGAAGCUUGCUUCUUUGCUGACGAGUGGCGGACGGGUGAGUAAUGUCUGGGAAACUGCCUGAUGGAGGGGGAUAACUACUGGAAACGGUAGCUAAUACCGCAUAACGUCGCAAGACCAAAGAGGGGGACCUUCGGGCCCCUUGCCAUCGGAUGUGCCCAGAUGGGAUUAGCUAGUAGGUGGGGUAACGGCCCACCUAGGCGACGAUCCCUAGCUGGUCUGAGAGGAUGACCAGCCACACUGGAACUGAGACACGGUCCAGACUCCUACGGGAGGCAGCAGUGGGGAAUAUUGCACAAUGGGCGCAAGCCUGAUGCAGCCAUGCCGCGUGUAUGAAGAAGGCCUUCGGGUUGUAAAGUACUUUCAGCGGGGAGGAAGGGAGUAAAGUUAAUACCUUGGCGCAUUGACGUUACCCGCAGAAGAAGCACCGGCUAACUCCGUG